GUUCAGACAAAGCAAUAAGAUGACGAAUCAAGCUCUCUCCAGAGAUGAAAGAAAAGCCAGUCUCAAAGAUGACUAUAACUAACGCUGUUGCUGGAAAGACAAGGGCACCGAGCCAGCCCUGGGAGAGGCUCCACUUCUUCAAAGACAAAACGAUUCCAAACGUGGCAGGACACAGUGCUCACCCUACAGUGAACCUCUGGGAAUAUGUUAUUUUUUAAAGAAACAACAGCUUUCAGAGAUUAGUUUCCUUCUGUCUGUCCCA
rnacentral:lncRNA from 1 species